ensembl:lncRNA
CUGGAGGAUCAGGCCUAGCCAACAUGGGUUCACGAAGGACAGGUCCUGCUUGACCAACCUGAUCUCCUUCUAUGAUCUAGUGACUCAUCUGGUGGAUGAAGGAAAGGCCGUUGAUGUAGUUUACCUACACCUCAGCAAAGUGUUUGACACUGUCUCCCACAGUAUUCUCUUGCAGAAGCUGGCAGCCCGUGGCCUGGGCAGGUACAUUCUUGGCUGGGUAAGGAACUGGCUGGAGGGCCGGGCGCAGAGAGUGGUGGUGAAAGGAGUUCAAUCCAGCUGGGGACCAGUCACGAGUGGUGUUCCCCAGGGGUCGGUGCUGGGGCCUGUCCUCUUCAGUAUCUUUAUUGAUGACCUGGAUGAGGGCAUUGAGUGCACCCUCAGUAAGUUUGCAGGUGACACCAAGCUGGCUGGAAGUGUCGAUCUGCCUGAGGGUAGCAAGGCCCUACAGAGGGAUCUGGACAGGCUGGAUAGCUGGGCUGAAGCCAAUGGGAUGGGAUUCAACAAGACCAAAUGCCGGGUCCUGCACUUUGGCCACAACAACCCCAGGCAACGCUACAGGCUUGGGGCAGAGUGGCUGGAAGACUGUGUAGAGGAAAUGGACCUGGGGGUGUUGAUUGAUGCUAGACUGAACAUGAGCCAGCAGUGUGCCCAGAUGGCCAAGAAGGCCAAUGGCAUCCUGGCUUGUAUCAGAAAUAGUGUCACCAGCAGGAACAGGGAAGUAAUUGUCCCCCUGUACUCAGCACUGGUGAGGCCACACCUCGAGUACUGUGUACAGUUUUGGGCCCCUCCCUGUAAGAAAGACAUCGAGGCCCUGGAGCAUGUCCAGAGAAGGGCAACAAAGCUGGUGAGGGGUCUGGAGCACAGGCCUUAUGAGGAGCGGCUGAAGGAGCUGGGAUUGUUCAGUCUAGAGGAGAUGAGGAGGCUCAGGGGAGACCUUAUUGCUCUCUAUAACUACCUGAAGGGAGGUUGUAGUGAGCUGCGGGUCAGCCUCUUCUCUCGGGUGACUAGUGAUGAGGGUGACUAGAGGGAAUGGCUUCAAGCUGCACCAGGGAAGGUUCAGGCUGGACAUUAGGAAAUACUACUUCUCUGAAAGGGUGGUCAGGCACUGGAAUGGGCUGCCCAGAGAGGUGGUGGAGUCACCGACCCUGGAGGUGUUCAAAGAGCAUUUGGAUGUUGUGUUGAGGGACAUGGUUUAGCGAGAACCAUUGGUGAUGGGCAAGUGGUUGGACUGGAUGAUCCUGUGGGUCUUUCCAACCUUAGUAAUUCUAUGAUUCUAUGAUUCUAUGUUGCUAUCCAAAACAAGCAGAUAAAAAUCAUACACAGUUCAGACUUUAUUUAUUUAUUUAUUUAUUUAUUUCAUUUUAGAGGGCAGCACUGGUGCAUU